UACGGGGGGGGCAAGCGUUGUUCGGAAUUACUGGGCGUAAAGGGUUUGUAGGUGGCUUGCUAAGUCAGACGUGAAAUCCCUCAGCUUAACUGGGGAACUGCGUCUGAGACUGGCAAGCUCGAGUGCAGGAGAGGAACGCGGAAUUCCAGGUGUAGCGGUGAAAUGCGUAGAUAUCAGGAGGAACACCUGCGGUGUAGACGGCUUACUGGACGGUAACUGACGCUGAGGCACGAAAGCGUGGGUAGCAAACAGG
rnacentral:rRNA from 1 species